GUACCAUUGUUUGAGGGUUUUCAUUUGGGUUUACUACUCUGGUUGAUGGAAGCGAAGAUGGGUUUGUUCACCAAUCAGCACACCGAGGAGAAGCAGCAAUGGAGGUGGGUGCAACACAAAAAUCCAAGAAAGAAUACCUGGGUUUGAAAAGCCGGAGCAGUAGAGAAGAAAGGGCAA